CCCUUAGAUGUUCUGGGCCGCACGCGUGCUACACUGAGUGGAUCAGCGGGUCAGGUUGCGCGAAAGUGUUUCCUAAUCUUGAAAUCCGCUCGUGAUGGGGAUUGACGGUUGCAAUUUUCCGUCAUGAACGAGGAAUACCUUGUAAACGCGAGUCAUCAGCUCGCAUUGAUUACGUCCCUGCCCUUUGUACACACCGCCCGUCGCACCUACCGAUUGAAUGGUUCGGUGAAGAUCUCGGACUUCGAUAUUUAUUCUUUAUUGAGUUUAUAUUGUGGGAAGUUAUCUAAACCUCAUCAUUUAGAGGAAGGUGAUGUCGUAACA
rnacentral:rRNA from 1 species